AUGAACAACAAGUUCAAUGGCGGCGACACCCCCCAGACGUUUCUUACAUCAUCCAAGAACAUGCAAGCACCAACCAGAGUGUUUGUUGAUUGGCCCAUACGGCCCACACCGACUUUUGAACUACAAACCCCACCAACGUGGCCGGCGCUUCCUCCGACCGCCACAACCGAUCGUGAGAGGCCAACGGAGCAGGGGGGCCUCGGCGUCCCCGACCUGCAGCGCUUCGGCAGAGCACUCCGGCUGCGCUGGCUAUGGAUCGCAUGGCACCACCCGGAAAGGCCCUGGGUGGGGUCUGAGCUACCAUGCGACCACGCGGACAGGGCCCUUUUCUCAGCAUCGACUAAGGUAACGAACGGAGACGGGACGCGGGCAUCUUUCUGGCUGUCGCCGUGGCUAGGGCAUGGAACACUGUCGCAGCGUUUCCCCCAGCUCUUCAACCACUCUCGCCGCAAGCACAGAACAGUCCAGGAGGUAAUGGAAGGUGACACCUGGAUCCGUGAUCUCGCACACGGGCAAAACCAACACCUCCUAGAUGAGGUGCUAAGUUUGCACCGUCAGCUGCAGCGCUCGGGACAGCCUGCUCAACCAGGAGAGCUGGACGCCACCAGUUGGAAGCUUUCGAGCACGGGGACGUACUCGGCCAAAUCUGCAUAUCGGGCGCAGUUCCAGGAAAGGAUGGCCACCAACUUUGAUCAACUCAUCUGGAAGCCCUGGGCGCCAGGGAAGAUCAAAAUCUUUGCGUGGCUGCUGCUGCGGGAUAGAGUUUGCGGCAACUCCACCAAGAUCAUCCAAAGCAUCCUGGCACGCACUGACCCACCUCACCGGCAAGGCGCGCGGUCGAUCUUGCUGCUGGCAUGCUGGGAGAUUUGGCAAGAAAGGAACCAAUGCACUUUCCGUCGCAGCCUACCAAGUGUGAAAGAAAUCAUCAGGCACAUCCAAGACGGCAUCGAGCUAUGGAGGAUCACUGGAGCAACAUGCAUAGAGAGCCUCUUUGGGGAACCACCUUGA
rnacentral:rRNA from 1 species